GAUUAACGCUAGCGGCAGGCCUAAUACAUGCAAGUCGAGGGGCAGCAGGGUGUAGCAAUACAUCGCUGGCGACCGGCGCACGGGUGCGUAACACGUAUGCAACCUACCUUUAACUGGGGAAUAGCCCUCCGAAAGGAGGAUUAACACCGCAUAACAUCACGAGACGGCAUCGCCUUGUGAUCAAACCUCCGGGGGUUAAAGUGGGCAUGCGUCCGAUUAGCUAGUUGGCGGGGUAACGGCCCACCAAGGCGACGAUCGGUAGGGGGUCUGAGAGGAUGAUCCCCCAACUGGUACUGAGACACGGACCAGACUCCUACGGGAGGCAGCAGUAAGGAAUAUUGGACAAUGGUCGCAAGACUGAUCCAGCCAUGCCGCGUGCAGGAUGAACGAUCUAUGAUCUGUAAACUGCUUUUGUCGGGAAUAAACCCCUUCACGUGUGGAGGGCUGAAUGUACCGAAAGAAUAAGGGUCGGCUAACUUCGUGCCAGCAG
rnacentral:rRNA from 1 species